AACGGAUGUGGGAUCUCACAAUCCACUUCUUGGGGGCCAGUGUCCUCGAUGGCACAUCUCUCGGUGUCUGGCUCUAAUACCAUUUGUAACAGCACAAGUCCACCGUGUUCUCCCUCCAACCGAUGUUAGAUCUCACAAUCCACCGCCUUGGGGGCCAGCGUCCUCAUUGGCACACCGUGUGUCUGACUCUGAUACCAUUUGUAACAAUCAAAUCUCACCGCUAGCAGACAUUGUCCUCUUUAGGCUUCCACUUCUAGACUUUCCCUCACGGUUUUGAAACUCAUCUAUUAGGGAGAGAUUUCUACAUCCUUAUAAGGAAUGCUUCGUUCCACUAUUUAAGACGUGGGAUUUCACCCCUGGAGAGAAGAUAUAAAAUAUGUUCCAAAAUUGAGGUGUGCACCCUUGAUGGAAACUAUGGUGUGAGUACUAAAACUGAGAGUGUGCUGAAUGAGAAAGAUGGUAGAGCAUCUGGCAGUGUCUCCGAUGCUAUGCGCUCAACCUGCAAGAUGGCGGUCUCCCGGAUGCAAGACGAGCUGAAGCAGAACAGAACUCUGAGAACAUAGCAUUGAUUAUGUGAAUGAGUUAUGUGAUCAAGGGUUGAACCAGGUUGCAGCAUUGGUUGACUGUGAACGGAUCCCUCAAUUGCCUACUGCCCCUUCACCGUUGGUGGCGCAUCUUUUGUUCCUACUUGUGAACGCAACAUUACACUCUCCAGAUGGGUGAGGGAUCUGCAGCUCACUGGAUUCAUACCUAUGGACGCUCCUCCUCCUCCUGGAACCAUCUUCUUGUUCUCUUGCAUUUUCCUAAAACUCAGAAUCAUGUCUCUUUAAGAUGAUGAUUCAUCUCAUUGAUUGAUUUAAUAUCGUUUGGUGAAAUAUGGUUCUCAAUACCGGAUCUAUUU